UGGGGAAUUUUGGACAAUGGGGGAAACCCUGAUCCAGCCAUCCCGCGUGUGCGAUGAAGGCCUUCGGGUUGUAAAGCACUUUUGGCAGGAAAGAAACGUCAUGGGUUAAUACCCCGUGAAACUGACGGUACCUGCAGAAUAAGCACCGGCUAACUACGUGCCAGCAGCCGCGGUAAUACGUAGGGUGCAAGCGUUAAUCGGAAUUACUGGGCGUAAAGCGUGCGCAGGCGGUUCGGAAAGAAAGAUGUGAAAUCCCAGAGCUCAACUUUGGCACUGCAUUUUUAACUAGCGGGUUAGAGGGGGGCAGAGGGAGGUGGAAUUCCGCGUGUAGCAGUGAAAUGCGUAGAUAUGCGGAGGAACACCGAUGGCGAAGGCAGCCUCCUGGGAUAACACUGACGCUCAUGCACGAAAGCGUGGGGAGCAAACAGG
rnacentral:rRNA from 1 species